rnacentral:rRNA from 1 species
GUAAACGAUGCUCGCUAGGUGUCGGCCACGGUGCGACCGUUGUCGGUGCCGUAGGGAAGCCGUGAAGCGAGCCACCUGGGAAGUACGGCCGCAAGGCUGAAACUUAAAGGAAUUGGCGGGGGAGCACCACAACGGGUGGAGCUUGCGGUUUAAUUGGAUUCAACGCCGGAAAUCUUACCGGGACCGACAGCAAUAUGAAGGCCAGGCUGAAGACUUUGCCGGAUUAGCUGAGAGGUGGUGCAUGGCCGUCGUCAGUUCGUACUGUGAAGCAUCCUGUUAAGUCAGGCAACGAGCGAGACCCACGCCCACAGUUGCCAGCGUACUCUCUGGAGUGACGGGUACUCUGUGGGGACC